rnacentral:lncRNA from 1 species
GUGUGUGGUGAUUGGCUCCCUUGUAUUUUCGGGUAACCCAGUGCUUGCAUGCAAUUCGAGUUAAAAUCUCCAGGUACAAAUUAAUUCAACAUUGUGCUUAGCUACCGUUUCCUGAAUCCGUGGUAAUCUUUGCAUCGCUCCGAUUCCGCAACAACUCGUGAACCUAUGUGCCAGUGAUAUCAACGUCGCCAUCACUGGAGGAAUCAUAAUAUGGUGUAAGAUUUUACAUGCUCUUACAUUCAACAGAGUUGGUGUACCCACCGAUUUUUCAUAGGUUACAAAGUACCACAUGUGAGGGAAAAAUAUGUACUGCAGAAUACAAUUUAUGACUUGCGGUUCCUGACUAACGUACAGGGUUGAAAACAUGACACUUGUCGUAGUCGGCAAUUUAGGUGGCCAACACAACUGUUUGGAUAGUUUCCUAGAAUAAACAAAUAAUAAACCUAAUAUCGAUUUUUCCAGUGUUUAACAAAAUAAACAGUUUCAUGUAAUCUGUAAAUAUUUUCAGGUUUGUCAAUCACGGAUGAAUGAAUUUGUGGGUUAUGAGUUGAUUUCUGGAUACUGUACUAUAAUUUAUCCCUGAACUUAAGGAGUGGGAUGGUUGGCUCGUACUUAAAAUAACGAAUGCGAUAAGAUGAUGAUAGAAGUGUUCCAGUUUAUUUUAACACAAAACGAAGAUUGUGGUGAGCCCGAAAAAGAAUGAAUGUACCUCAAGAAACGGCUAUCUUCAUCGCUAGCAGGAGUUGACAUUGUGACAUGUCGUGCGACUCUGUGCAGUCUCAGCCGGUAAGAGAGGCAGCAAAUUGUCCUAGAUUGUAAUCCCAUAUACUGUGACUGGUCCCACCACUCUUGCAAAUCGUAGAGCAUUGCGUGGAGGCCCUUGUUGACUCCAACUGAUGCCGCAGCAUCAUUUCCAUCUCCCCCAGCCGCAGUGGACCUGCCAGCCUGUUUGCUAACACCUUUGAAUAAAAGUGAUUUUAUUUCAAAUUCCCAUAUGAUGACAACGAUUAUCUUCACUUCUUAUUCAAGUUUU